rnacentral:lncRNA from 1 species
AUGAGUUCACCUCUCCGAAUCCCAUGCAUCCCGGCAUUCCGAAUUGAUCCCAGCUAACUUUGAGUGAUUUCCGUUGUCUAUACUUCAUCUCCCAAGUCAUUCACAGCCUUCCCGAACUUCUCAGCCGAUUAUAGAACUCAUCCUUAUCCCUAUUCUUCGCGUAUUCAUCCCAACGGCUUUCUUCUCAUCCUCUUCUCCGGAUCACUUGAAUCUUCCAAAGCCCCUGCAUCCCGACUCAUCUCUCAUCUUCGGAUCAAGCCAGUGAACCCGAAUCCCAGCAUCUUCAUCUCGUCUGCCCAAGCUUGAUCUCAUUCGUGAUGACCAUCCAGGAUCCAUGACAGCAUCCCGAGCUUCACGGAUCAGAGCCUCUAUCUUCCACGGAUGGUUCCCAGUUCAUUCCCAGCCAUCCGCAUUCCCCUCGGCGUUAAAGAAGUAAUCAGCUUCAGCCAUCCGGCCGAGAUCCUCUCAACGUCCAACCUCUCGCAUCCCAGCAUCUAGAAGCCAGCUUCAUUCUCCCACGGAUAAACCCAGCAUCCCAACCGUUCUUCUUCGCAUCCCGAGAGGCCAAGUUCCUCAUCGGAAGAAGAAGAAGCUUGGCUCUUCUCAGGGAGUUCCCACAAGAAUAAAAGGAGAGAGAGAAGACUUUGGGGCAUUUCAGGUACCCUAGGGGAAAACGUCAAGCCGAAUCGGGAAGGGCCCGAUUUCAUAUCCGCCGUCCAUCCUGGAAAUGCAUAUAAACUUUAGAAUGCGGAUGGUGAUGAACUACCCGAUCCCUGGAAGGCCAUCUACCUCAAGAGGUACUACGCGUAGGCCAACCUUUGUUUGGAUUCACAUUUUGGCCUUACCUCGAGAGAACUUUGUUAUGUUUCCGAGUCUAAAGAGUAGGGCAUAUGUUUGUUGUCUAAGUUCUAAAAGAUAGCAAGCUAGUGCAUUCAUUCAUUAGUACUUCACCAGC